GCUGAACUCAGUUGGAUCUAGCUCCAAGC
rnacentral:piRNA from 1 species